rnacentral:rRNA from 1 species
UGGGGAAUCUUGCGCAAUGGGCGAAAGCCUGACGCAGCGACGCCGCGUGAGUGAUGAAGGCCUUCGGGUUGUAAAGCUCUGUGGGGCGAGACGAAUAAGUGCAGCCGAAUACGUUGCAUGAUGACGGUAUCGCCUUAGCAAGCACCGGCUAACUCUGUGCCAGCAGCCGCGGUAAGACAGAGGGUGCAAACGUUGUUCGGAAUUACUGGGCGUAAAGCGAGUGUAGGCGGUCUGAAAAGUCGGGUGUGAAAGCCCCGGGCUCAACCCGGGAAGUGCACUCGAAACUGCCAGGCUAGAGUAUCGGAGAGGUUGGUGGAAUUCUCGGUGUAGAGGUGAAAUUCGUAGAUAUCGAGAGGAACACCGGUGGCGAAGGCGGCCAACUGGACGAAUACUGACGCUGAG